ensembl:lncRNA
GUAUUAAAUGAUUUAUUUCAUUAUUAGCUUUUAAUAAAAAUAAAGUCCAAAUAAACUAAUACAAUCAAUAAUUUAAAAAAUACAAAACAAACCAUUUGAUAGUAUAGUUUAUUUAAUACAAUGUUUAACUAUAAAAGUUGAUACAGUUUCAGAGUUUAAAGUCUGUAAAAUGCAGUUUGCAUAAAACAGUUUAACAGUUACUAGACUAAUGAUAAGAGAAGCAGCAUUUUGAAACUAAUUAUACAACUGCAACAAGUUUUAUUCCUAAAUUUCAUUAAAAAAAUAUACAUCACAGUGACUUUUGAGCUAGGAAAAGAAGUACAUUUUAACCUCAUUUGUUUUUCCCUUCCACAAAGAGAGCAGCCGCAACUUUUAACAUCCUCACAUACAAAUACCCAAUUAUCUUAUCCUUCAAAAUACUAUAAACACACAAAGGGGAAACAAAAUAUACAGCAUGUGCUUUUGGUAAACAUAGGUAUUUGCUUGCAAAAAGGUGGUGGUGGGGAAACACACCAAUCAAUCCCACCAUACCUCCCUGUACAUAAAAACAAACAAAUCCCCUGACAACUCUCUUCUUCAACCUUCCUGAUGGAAUUUUUAAAAAUUUGUGAUUUUUCUUUUUCUUUCAUGUUUACUUGCGUCACAACACAGGCCAGAAUUUGCAUUUGCCUCAAUCCUUUAAAGGCAGUUGGGAACUCACUAUUAACCAAUGUUCCACUCCUGGAGUUUAUUUUUCAAACAAGAAUUUGUAGCAAAACAGAUCUUUUCACAAUAAAACAGGUUAAAACCUACUACCCUUGGGGAGUCUAUUCAACAGUAAAUGCUGCAAUACCAAACUGAAUGAUUACAGUAAAUACAACCAAAAGGAGACAGAAAAACAGCCCAUUUCAUGUUUCUUUUUAACAAUGAUAUGGUGUAUAUUUAAAGUACCUUCUAUUGAAGGUAAAGCAAACAAGUUUCUAUAGACAUCUAUAAAAGUUCAAAGUGUGAUUACCAAAAAAACAUAAACUGCCACCUAGAGUAAAGCAAAAUCAACUACUAAAAAAUAUACUGAUUUGUUCUACUAACUUGAAAACAAAUUAGAACUGCCAAUUAAUAUUACUACUCCAAAUACCAGAACACCAACACGUAGCUAUCCCCAAUAUUAAAGAAAAUUUUACUUUUCAGUUUCAUUUUCUACUGGGCACAAGGAUCAAAGGCCAUUAGGCAAAGCUCAGAUGAGUUAAUAUUACAUUUGUGCAAAGAUUUCUAUAAGACAAAUUCUUUGAAAUCUCUCUGAGGGAUCUGAUUAAGACAACUUAGAAACUAUCAUGCUCUAUGAACUCUCUUAUUAUAGUUUUUAAAUGUUUUAAAGCAACCUGGUAUCUUCCCUACAAGCUCUUUAACAUUAAUCUCUCUGAAGCGUCAAUUCUGUGGCAGAUGAUUUACAAAGAAAAAGAAUUCACAGGAAAUAAUCAUAAACAAUUUUCAUUUCUCAGUUAUUGCCAACCAGGCAAUAAAAGCAAACUAAAAAUCUUUAAAUGGAUUUAAAUCCGCUUAAACAUGUUUGAGUUUACAGUUUAUUUCAAAGUAAUUAUACCAGCUUGGCAGGAAACAAAUAGUUGACUUUCAGGAAAAGAGUUGUUCAAAGUAAAAAGGGCUGCACAACUAUUAAAAAGGUAAUGAAAGAAUUACUUGAUCAGUGCAGUAUUCAGAUGCAAAGGCAGAUGUAAUGGUUAAUGCUGUUUGAUCAUUUUCUAAAUNNNNNNNNNNNNNNNNNNNNNNNNNNNNNNNNNNNNNNNNNNNNNNNNNNNNNNNNNNNNNNNNNNNNNNNNNNNNNNNNNNNNNNNNNNNNNNNNNNNAAAUGUUAUUUACAUUCUGAAAAUAAAAUCUAGCUGAUUGUCAUCCUUCACUUCAACUCCUUCACCAUACCUAACUGUAAAAACAGCUAACAGUUUUUCUAAGUCUAGAAAUAAUGCUUAGCAUGGAAUUGCUUCUUUGAUAACCAAAAUAGAAUAUUACUUAAAGCAAUUACUAGUUUUCCCCCCUGUGGUUACCUAUCUGUAAAUUCUUAGUAGAUAAAAGUUCUGGGAUCAGACAACAUACAAGUAUUUUUUAAUUAGCAUGGAUUUUCUUUUUUUGUUGUUGUUAUUAGAAAUCCUUUCUUAAACAGCACCCUUCUUGAAGCUCAAAUAGUUUAUAACAAAGACUUUUUAAAUGCAGUUCACUGAAUUUAAGACAAGCAAAAACUAAAAUAUAUAACACAUUAUACAGCUUGGGGACUCAGGACUCAAUUAUCUCUAAGGUUUGUGAUAAAAAUCUCUAAGGAAUCAAUCACCCUGGAUUAUCAUAAACAUUUAUUACUUUUAUCAUUAGGAAAAAGAUUCAGUAAGACCCUGAUAUGGAUAUUUGUUUCAGGAAAUCCAAACAAUCUUAUAAUCAUCACCCUAUUUAUUACAUAAGUAUCAUUACUGUAUUAAUCAAUAAUGGGAAGUAUUAUAUUAAUAAGCAUUGCUUUGCUCAGUACAAAUAGCGUGAGUAGCUACUGGAUUUACCAAGAAGCUACCUGGUAAUAAGUAGCUAUAAGUAUCAAAUAAGGGAUAAGUAAGUAGCUAUUUGAUACUAUGUUGACAAAUAUUAAAGUACAAAACACUCUAAAGGCAACUACUAAUUGGAAUUCUGAAAUUUCUUUUCAAAUGAGGCAGGUUUUGUGUUUACUGGAUGUUCAGUAUUCUAUUUAGAAGAGAAAUUACAGAAUAAAAGGCCACACAUCACUAAAAUAGCAAUAUACAACACACAAACUUCUAAAUGGACUUUGGAUAUCUUUAGUGUUUAACUCUAAGCUAUCAAAUUUUGCCACUUUCUACUCUAUGUGGCAAUGUUAUACAUGCCAAGUUAAAAUAAUGAUUAAUAGUAAUAAUAUAAAGCCACCUGAAGAGAAGGAAAUCAGAGUCAUAAACAUGCUACAGCCGGUGGUACAUAUAUAAAAGAGAUGCGUUUUCUUGCCAGUUGAAACUCAGUUAUGAGACUUAGAGGGGUCAGUUAAAGUUAAAAAAAAAAAAANNNNNNNNNNNNNNNNNNNNNNNNNNNNNNNNNNNNNNNNNNNNNNNNNNNNNNNNNNNNNNNNNNNNNNNNNNNNNNNNNNNNNNNNNNNNNNNNNNNUAAAAAAAAAAAAAACAACAAACCAACCACCAUGCAACGUUAACACUGAACUCUAGGUUAGUGGCCAAAAAGAGAACUCUCGUUAAGUUAAUGGGUCAGUACCAACAAUUUUUAGAAUUUGUCUAACAAAGACCUGCACGAGUGGUAUGUUUUAGUGAGCAAAGUAUUUUUUUUCAUUUUAGAGAAGGGCAAUGACAAUAUCAACAAUUACAGAACAUUCGCCAAAAUAAGUUUCAUCUCUUCAGACCAAAAGCAACACAGAAUUGAGAAUUACAACCUGAUCCUCAAGGUUUAGCUCUUGUUAGAUGCUGUAUAACAGCAACUCAAGCCCAAUCAGUACAUCAGCUGAAAAAAAUACUCAACUAUAUCUAUAGACAGUUGAUAAAACAGGAAAAAUAAGAAACAAGCUACUGGUAGCACUAUAAAGAAUAACAUAUGAAGUGCAAUAUAAAUAUUUUAAAGCACAAAUUACUAUAAAAUCAAAAGUGAUGACUUAAUAUCUCAAGUUAUUAGGGGCCCACUUCUGUAUAAUUGAAAGCUGCUGUUGCAAGCCUCUAUUAUAAAUGCAAUAAAAAAAUCUAUGUAAGAUUUCUUCUACCAAGUGGCUUCUAAGGUUACUUUAAUCAUGAGAAACACAAGCUUCUAAAAUAAUGUAUUCCAACAAUCAGUUAUCCUUCUUUCCAAUUGGCUGAUCACACAAAUUAGGGAAUAGAAGAGUAUGUUUGCUACUGGCUGAUUGUUGCAACACAAAAAUGCAUACAUGAAAUAGUUAAACACAGCACACAGUAUUACACCAAAGUGUUUUUCUCAUUUCAAGUUUAUUAAAACUUUAGCAGUACAAAUUAUCCAGGCUGCAGAUUAUCAAAAGAUCAACUCAAUAAAGUCCACAUUGAAAAAAAAAAAAAGACAAUCCCAAAACAAUGAAAAGAAAAAAACAACAUAAAGAAGAUCAUCAGCAAGUCUCUAAAACUUAAAAUCUGAGACAGAAUGGAAAUAAGAAGUUUAUAUAACUCACUCAUCCACUUUUGUCUUCAUCUGUUCCAGGGCUUGAUUCAUGAUCAAAUUUUUUAUUUUUAUCAUGUGCGUGGUC